rnacentral:rRNA from 1 species
AUGAUUCCCAACCUCUCCGGUCUGCGCCCUCGAGAACCACUUCGGCACCGCCGCGGCCGGCAGCGAAGACUUCGGCGGCCUCUUCUCCGCCGACACCGACGACCAGCUCGCCCUCGAAUUCCCAACCGCUCCGCCCUAAAGAACCACUUCGGCGCCGCCGCGGCCGGCAGCGACGACUUCGGCGGCCUCUUCUCCGCCGACCAGCUCGCCCUCGAGUUCCCCACCUGCAACCACUUCGAUGGGUUCCAGCAGGCGACCAAGGAGAUGGCGAACAACAAGAAGGGGACGACCACGCUCUCCUUCAUCUCCGACAAGGCGUCAUCGUCGCCGCCGACUCCCGGGCCAGCAUGGGCGGGUACACAUCUUUAA